UACGUAGGGUGCAAGCGUUAAUCGGAAUUACUGGGCGUAAAGCGCGCGCAGGCGGUUAUAUAAGACAGUUGUGAAAUCCCCGGGCUCAACCUGGGAACUGCAUCUGUGACUGUAUAGCUAGAGUACGGUAGAGGGGGAUGGAAUUCCGCGUGUAGCAGUGAAAUGCGUAGAUAUGCGGAGGAACACCGAUGGCGAAGGCAAUCCCCUGGACCUGUACUGACGCUCAUGCACGAAAGCGUGGGGAGCAAACAGG
rnacentral:rRNA from 1 species